GUGUGUGAGUGUGUGUGUGUGUGAGUGUGUGUGUGUUUGUGAGAUCAUGAGCAGAUUUAUUCCAUAGUUCUGGAGGGGACGUCAGCAAAGUUCAGAUGUCACGCUGGACAUCCCUCAAACAGACGGCACAUUUUACGCUCUCAUCUGCUGAAACUGGUGCGUUUUCCGUCCUGGAGCGUCUGAGGUCAGAUGACGCUGUUCCAGGAUCAGUUCUAACAGGAUUCAGUUUCCCUGAAGCACAGCUGACGACCCAGAAGCCUCUCUGUUUCUCUCAGUUUCUCUUUCUCUUCUCUCCACAGGCGAUGAGCCGCAGUCAGGGGAAGCGAGAGCAGAGACGAGACACACUUCCACCGGCCGUAUGGAACAUGAUGCCGCUCUUUGUUUAGACGGCACUGUAAUUUAUUUCGCCGAUGAGUUAUUCACUCCAUCUGGUUGGUGCGGCACAAACAAAUGUUUCUCCGACUGAUACAGGAAUCAACACCAGCGAGAUCCGCAUGUCACUGACAGCCCAUCACGUCACGGGCAACUAGUUAACCAAUCAGUCAGUUGGAGGUUUAUUCUGGGAUGAUGAAAAUGAGCUUUACAGUCUACAGAGCUCUUCAGUCCAUUUGAAGGCCCAUUUGAAGACUAAUUCGGAUUCCAGUGGAUCUAUGCAAGAUGAGGUCUGUGGUUAACAAUACCUGAAGAGACGUCUGCUUUCUUCUACAGCAGGGAUCCACAAACUACUUUGACAUAAAAUGUUUAUCCCCAAGAUUUAAAGUUAAUAUUCUAAUAAUUUAACAAGCAACACAUUUGCAUGUUUAAUGAUCAUGUGACAUGCAGGUAAACAAAUACUAUAUUUCAUCUUUUUUUAGUAAGUGCUUUAUUUUGAUUGUUUUUAUUUUUAAAUGACUUUUUAAUUUUAAUUUUAGUUUUUUAGGAUUCAUAUUUUUUAGCAAGUAUUUAAAUUUUUUAAUAAUUUAUUUUAAUUUGACAUCUUUAUGAUUAAAU